UGCCAGGACCACGUGGGCGAAUUGGAGAGACUGAUCCUUAACCCGAUGCAACCGCAGUAGCAAAGAGGCCAGAUUUUUUUUUUUAACUCCCUACUGACUGGUCUAGAUUGUCAACUCCUUGGCGUAAGAGAUGUUGGUGUGAUGUACUGAGAUUGCUCAGUACUGCCUAGCACAGAACAGGCGUCCAAUAAAACUUGUUGAAUAAGUGAAUGAUAGAAUCUUGAAAGGAUUACUUUAGCACUGAUCCUGGAUUUCUGUGUUUUGUUUAAAUGGAAGCAAAGUCUACCUCAGCUCUGACCUUUCCUUUUUUAAAGAGCAAGUACUUUCCAGAGUGGAGACACCCCAAAGCACACAAAUCAGGGAAGGUCAGGAGAAAAACAUGGCAUUUCUUAGACAUAUUGAUAUGGGCAUGUGCCAGUGAUGAGUAACUAAGGGAACCAGCAGAAUGAUCAAAGAGUGAGCACUUCAGAGAACAGACUCGGAAAUGGGAUAUAACUGAGAAGUGGAAGGAUCAUUGGAGCAGCUUAUUAAAGCAAACAAAAACAAAGAGCAAAGCAGGCACCUAAUUAAGCAAUAUUUGAAGAUUUUCUCAUGGUCAUGAAAGCAUCAUGUUCAAGUCAGUGGAUACAGAAGACAUCUGGAAGGAAUAGUACCAGAUGUCAGAUGUGCUGACCAUUGAUUAGAAAUAAAAAUCAAUAUGACUGAAAAGCAAUGCUAA